GCCGCUCCUUGCCCUGACCGGCGGCCACGCCUCCGCCCGUCCCCCCCGUCCCCGCCGCCGCGCCCCCUCAGCCCGCGCCCGCACACAAUGGACGACCUCGGCGGCGGCGGCGGCGGCGGCGGGUCGGGGUCUCGGCCGCCACCGGCGCCGCAGGCCCCGGGUCCCGGCUCGGCCAUGACCGUGUCCCCGGCGGGCGAGGGCCCGGGCCCGGGCCCCGCGGGGUCGGCCGAGCUGUCCCGGCCCCCGCCGCCCCCUCCGCCCCCGCCGCCCGCGGCCCCGCCGCAGCCGCCGCCGCAGCAGCCGCCGCCGCCGCAGCAGUACACCAUCCCGGGGAUCCUGCACUACAUCCAGCACGAGUGGGCCCGCUUCGAGAUGGAGCGGGCACACUGGGAGGUGGAGCGGGCCGAGCUGCAGGCUCGAAUAGCAUUUUUGCAAGGGGAAAGGAAAGGUCAGGAAAAUCUGAAGAAAGAUUUAGUAAGAAGAAUAAAAAUGUUAGAAUAUGCAUUAAAACAAGAAAGGGCAAAAUACCACAAAUUAAAAUAUGGCACAGAACUAAACCAGGGUGACUUGAAAAUGCCAACAUUUGAAUCAGAAGAAACCAAAGACACAGAGGUUCCUACAGUGCCUCAAAACAGUCAGCUGACCUGGAAACAAGGCAGGCAGUUGUUAAGACAAUAUCUUCAGGAAGUAGGUUAUACAGACACAAUAUUGGAUGUACGGUCCCAGAGGGUAAGGUCAUUACUUGGACUAUCCAGUACAGAACCAAACGGCUCAGUAGAGACGAAGAACCUAGAACAAAUUCUCAAUGGAGGAGACUCUCCAGCAAAACAAAAAGGACAGGAAGUCAAAAGGAACUCUGGUGACGUCCUUGAGACAUUUAAUUUCUUAGAAAAUGCAGAUGACAGUGAUGAAGAAGAGGAAAAUGACAUGAUUGAAGAUAUUGCAGAAGGAAAAGAAAAGCAUCGGAUGAAUAAGAAACACAAAAUCGGUAAUGAAGGCUUAGCUGCUGACCUCACUGACGACCCUGAUACUGAAGAAGCCCUGAAAGAAUUUGAUUUUUUAGUGACUGCCGAAGAUGGAGAAGGAGCUGGGGAAGCUCGGAGUUCAGGGGAUGGCACAGAAUGGGACAAAGAUGACCUGUCCCCAACUGCAGAGGUUUGGGAUGUAGACCAGGGGCUAAUAAGUAAACUGAAGGAACAGUACAAGAAGGAACGAAAGGGGAAGAAAGGGGUAAAGAGGGUCAACAGGACAAAACUUCACGACAUGAUAGCUGAUCUGGGAGAUGAUGAGCUACCCCACAUCCCUUCAGGAAUCAUUAAUCAGUCUAGGUCACCCUCUUCUAGAAUGACUGAUCAUGAAGGUGCAAGAGCUGAGGAAGCUGAACCAAUUACGUUUCCAUCUGGAGGAGGCAAGUCAUUUAUUAUGGGUUCUGAUGAUGUUUUGUUAAGUGUACUUGGCCUUGGAGACCUUGCAGACUUGACGGUAACAAAUGAUGCAGACUAUAGUUACGAUUUACCUGCCAACAAAGAUGCCUUUCGGAAGACAUGGAAUCCUAAGUAUACGUUACGCAGCCAUUUUGAUGGAGUGCGGGCAUUAGCUUUUCAUCCUGUAGAGCCUGUGCUGGUUACAGCCUCCGAGGAUCACACUCUGAAACUGUGGAACUUGCAGAAAACAGUUCCUGCCAAAAAGAGUGCCUCUUUAGACGUGGAGCCUAUCUACACAUUUAGAGCCCAUGUAGGCCCUGUAUUGUCAUUGGCCAUUAGUUCUAAUGGUGAGCAGUGUUUUAGUGGUGGAAUUGAUGCAACCAUCCAGUGGUGGAAUAUGCCCAGUCCUAAUGUGGAUCCAUAUGACACAUAUGAGCCAAACGUUCUAGCUGGCACAUUAGUUGCUCACACAGAUGCAGUCUGGGGUCUUGCGUAUAGCGGCAUAAAGAAUCACUUACUGUCCUGCUCAGCAGAUGGAACCAUUAGACUGUGGAAUCCCCCAGAAAAAUUGCCCUGCAUUUGCACUUACAAUGGAGACAAGGCACACGGAGUACCCACGUCUGUUGACUUCAUAGGCUGUGAUCCUGCUCAUAUGGUGACCUCCUUCAACACUGGCAGCACAGUCAUCUAUGAUUUAGAAACGUCACAGUCUGUGGUCAUGCUUUCGUCACACAUAGACUCUGGUUUACAAUCAAAUAAUCACAUUAACAGGGUAGUGAGUCAUCCUACACUUCCUGUUACAAUUACUGCUCAUGAGGACAGACACAUCAAGUUUUUUGACAAUAAAACGGGUAAAAUGAUCCAUUCUAUGGUGGCUCAUUUGGAUGCUGUCACGAGCCUAGCUGUAGAUCCUAAUGGAAUCUAUCUGAUGUCUGGAAGCCACGACUGUUCCAUUAGACUGUGGAAUUUGGACAGCAAGACCUGCGUGCAGGAAAUAACGGCCCAUCGGAAGAAAUUGGACGAAUCCAUUUACGACGUCGCUUUCCACCCGUCGAAAGCGUACAUCGCCAGUGCAGGAGCUGACGCCCUGGCCAAGGCGUUUGUCUGACCCAGCGAACACCUGCAUCCUCAGAGCAGGUCUGUGGGGACAGAAAAGGGAGGAAUGCAUCACUGCCAUCGUGGAGGUUACUGAGAAGACACUACACACGAUCUGCCCAGCAAUGUCAUGUUGAAAAUGUGCUGCAGUAACUCUUGUAUAAAACAGACAAUGGGGAACUUAAUUCUCUACCAUUCAGAUCCAGGUGAGGAUUUCAAUAACUGCUUGUAGGACACUAAAAACGGUUUUCCGAAAUUCAGUCAGCUAUUUUGCACUUUUUGUUUCUUCUGAUCUAAAGCAUUCAACUAAUCAACAGAUAAGAGGGUGUGACUUUGAAUUUUUCCUGGAAGUAAUUUCACUAUCGCCUUUUCUGAAGCCAAACAUUGUUUCUGGCAGCUUUUCCAGACUGCUGCAUUACUGCUUAAAUGAAAUGUGAUUGUUAAACAUUGCAAUGCAUUAACACUUACCCUUUCUGGAAUUGUAUUAAAAUUGAAAUGGGUAAAAA